rnacentral:rRNA from 1 species
GGAUGGGCGCAGCCUGAUCCAGCCAUGCCGCGUGUGUGAAGAAGGCCUCGGGGUUGUAAAGCACUUUUAUUAGGGAAGAAACGGCCGAGAUUAAUACCUUUGGAUGACGGUACCUACAGAAUAAGCACCGGCUAACUCCGUGCCAGCAGCCGCGGUAAUACGAGA